UUCAUAAUGAAAUGAACAUGCAAAGCCUAGGAAAGAAGAACACCUUUGGAACCUCCAGUGAAACCUGCAAGCAUAGAAAGAGAAACUCAUUGCUAAACCCCAAAAAGAAGAUGAAAGAAGUGAAACAAAAUCUCAGGCACAUUUGGACUGGGUGCCCAGGGUAUUAAAGUAAGACCAGUCAGGAUCUGUGGAAACAUCUGAUUUUUACAUGAAAGGAUCAUGGUGAUCUGGAGACAGAACAGAGAAUAUGAAUGAAGCAUAUUCUGGAGACAGAGGUUGGCAAGAGGACAUGGAUCAGCUCAUGGAAGAGGAGAACCAGUGCAAGGACAUUUUGAGAGUCAGUGGUAAGAAACCCGCAAUGUACAAGGACAAGAACCCAUCCAACUUGGACUGAUUCUGAAAACUGUAUUUGUUCAUCAGGAAGAUUUCCAGCUGGAUUCAGGCAUGUCAUUCAUGCAUGUAAAUAAUCACAUAUUCCUGAUAUAUGUAAUUUAAUACUCUAGUUCUACAAGUGAGUACAAAAAAUUAAAAGAACCUAC